CUACAUUUAAAAGGAUCAGCCACAAUCUUAGCUAUUUUCCAUCGGCAGACCCCCCUCUUCGCGUUCUGAUUUCCUCUUCUUAGUUCUCGAUUGAAAAGCAACACAGACAAUACACAAAAAGGGAAAGGAAUGAAAAAACGAAAAAAAAAAAUUGGGGAGGAAGGCAGAGAAACGUUCUUCUCCUUUCCAUUUUUAGAUUUUAUCAAGUUUUCUUGUUAAAUUUCAAAAAAAAACAAUUCAGAAAAAGUAAAAGAUAUAUUCUGAAAUCUCUUCCUUUUGGAUUUGGUUUUCAAAAAAUAGAGUCAAGCUGAAUUGGGUGUUCAGAUUUGGAGUUUCCUUCGAGAUUGGUUCCAGGUUUAAGUUCGCGGUUCCGAUUUCUUCUUGCUGUUGUAUUUUCGUCGGACUUUCAUCUUGGUGAAUAUGUCAUGGAUACUUUCUUUACAUAUUAAAGAAGAAACAUUUAACAGGUUCAUUUCUGAUUAAUCCCUCUUUAUUCUAUUCUAAUUACUGCGAAUCAAACUUCAAAAGAGCCAUUAAAAGAUAGAGUUUAGUUUACAAUGUUAAUGCAUGUGAAUUGAUCUCUUUUGGUGUUGUAAGAUCUCUGGUUGAUGUUUUCUCCCAACUUCCUUUAGUGAAAUCUCUGUUUUUAUGAUUAAGUAAUGUUAAGGUGUUUAAAUUUCUAUUUUUGUAGAAUUUGCAUUAGACUGCUAGAGCAUUUAAUAGACAAAAUAUCAUCAGCAAAUAUUUUCAAUUGUUUGUCCAAAUGUGAAAUUCUAUGCCUUUAUGAGCUUGGCUGAUCGUUCCUUUUCAUUUGGUUUAGACAUGUGAUUGAGUUUUUUUUCUUCCUUUUUAGUCUUUAUUAUUAUUAAUUAAGAAAAGUCAUCUGCUCAUUUAGAGAUCUAUGUGUUAUGGUUUGCUUCCGUAAAUUAAUUAUUCGAAUAUUUGUAGGCGUGUCCUAAUAUUGUUUAGCCAUAUUUGCCUUACUAGUAUCUCAUUCUUAACUGUUGGAACACUUUUUAGAUAGAUGCUUUAGAAUAAAAAUUAUUUUUAUUUUAUUUUUUUUGUAUAAAAAAAAAGAGUACUUUUUUUAGUUAUCUUAGAAGUUGUUCUUAUCUUGUUUGAGUAAGAAAUUCCUAUAGUUCUUUAGAAUUCUUUAUUAACGUCGAGUCAUAUGCACAAUUCGCUCGAUCAAGUUUCGGCAGAUAUGUACUCUUUCAAACUGAACAAACCAAUACAAUAAUCAUAUGCAUCACACCUUUUCCUUGAUUAGUGUUGGAUUAUUUGGUGCAGAGUGAUACUUUGUGGAGUCGUCAUGCCUUCAGUCAUUCCUCUUAAUACUUCUAUUGUGCUUGAAUGUCAUUUAUUUUGCCCUAAUAUACUAAAUUACUUUAUUGUGUCAUUCCAUUGUUUGUUUAGUAGGUUUGAGUGUGUGUUCGAAAUUAGCAGAAUGGAUGGGAUGGAAUUGGACGUCUAAGUGGCUCUUUUGAUAGCAUUGAUUCAUUUAAUGUACUAUUUCAUCUUCCGUGGCUCAUGGUCCCUUUAAAUAACCAUAUUGCUUAUUUAUAUAUAUGUUUACUUUGUGUAUCUGCUGGAUGGUUUACUCUAGUUCUUAGUUUUGUUGGAUGUAAAUUAUUUAGAUAACGAUGUUGGACCGUGGGGUGAAAUCUCAAAUGAAAUGAAGCUGAACAUGAGCAUGAAAUCUCAUUUAGUAAAAGUACUCCAUAAUCACAUGUCUUUUCACACACAAUCAUUGAAUUAGGAACUAAACAAUCAUGAACUUCGUAGUUUGCUUUAGGAGCAUUAAUUAUAAUUAUCACAGCUAUUACUAAAACUCGAGGGUACAUUUCAUGUGGCCCGGUUCUAAUUUCCAACAAGGUUAAAUAGAAUGUGUCGUGAACCACGGGUGCAUUUCAUGUGGCGUGGCUUGCGAUAUGUUAUUAAUAACCUUGAAUUAAUUCUUUUAAUAAGUAAAAGCGGGUUUUCAAAAGUUAAAAUGCAC
rnacentral:lncRNA from 1 species